GAUGAACGCUAGCUACAGGCUUAACACAUGCAAGUCGCGGGGCAGCAUGGGGGUUGCUUGCAAUCCCCGAUGGCGACCGGCGCACGGGUGAGUAACGCGUAUCCAACCUGCCCUUCACCACGGGAUAACCCGGCGAAAGUCGGACUAAUACCGUAUGUUGUCCCUUGACGGCAUCCGAUUUGGACGAAAGGUUUGGCGGUGAAGGAUGGGGUUGCGUCCGAUUAGCUGGACGGCGGGGUGACGGCCCACCGUGGCGACGAUGGGUAGGGGUUCGGAGAGGGUGAUGAGGCACACGGGAAGUGAGGCAAGGACAAGAAUCCUACGGGAGGAAGCAGUGGGGAAUGUGGGACAAUGGGAGAAAGCUGGAGACAGCAAUAUCGAGUGGGUGAAGAAGGCGUUCGGGUUGUAAAGGCAUGUUGUUGGGAAAGAAAAGGAGCAGGUUAAUAAGCCGAGGUGUUGAGGGUAACAAAGGAAUAAGCACCGGCUAACUUCGUG
rnacentral:rRNA from 1 species